UUCUGAACAUGUCAUCAUGUCAGCCUCUCUGUCAUUUUAAGAUGGAGCAGCAUCUGUCUCCAAGUCUCUCCUCUGUGUCUUAACAUUUUAAAAGUACACCUAUUUAUACCAGGUGUCGUCAUUUUAGGUUACUGUAGUUCAAAUAUGAAAAAGUAACACCUUUUACUUUAUUCAAUUUAGGACCUCCCUUAAUUUGGCAAACAUACAAGGCCAUAACUAAAGGGUGUAUACGUCAUGGAAAUUUUCCUGACUUAGUUCAAGAUGGCAUCUUAAAGUUUGAAUAGGUUAUCUGUUG